rnacentral:ncRNA from 2 species
GCGGGCGAAGAUCGCGCCGGUUCCCCGCAAGGGGAUUCAAAGGGAACGGGGUUCGAUACCCCGGCUGCCCCUGCAACUGUGAGCGGCGAGCGAGAUCCACCAGCGCGGGGCGCGUCGCCCCGCGCGGCCACUGGGCGACCGGGAAGGCGUGGAUCGAGCGACGACCCGCGAGCCAGGAGACCUGCCGGCGCGGGUCGCUCAAU